UGCGUAGGCGGGCUAAUAAGGCAGUGGUGAAAUCUUUCGGCUCAACCGAGAAACUGCCAUUGAUACUGUUAGUCUUGAGUUCGGUUGAGGUAGGCGGAAUGUGUAAUGUAGCGGUGAAAUGCUUAGAUAUUACACAGAACACCAAUUGCGUAGGCAGCUUACUAGACCGACACUGACGCUGAGGCACGAAAGCGUGGGGAGCGAACAGGAUUAGAUACCCUGGUAGUCC
rnacentral:rRNA from 1 species